ACUCUGUCAGUGGCGGACGGGUGAGUAACGCGUAGGUAUCUAUCCUUGGGUGGGGGACAACCACGGGAAACUGUGGCUAAUACCGCAUGACGACUGAGGUCCAAAGGCGCAAGUCGCCUGGGGAGGAGCCUGCGUCCGAUUAGCUUGUUGGUGGGGUAAAGGCCUACCAAGGCUCCGAUCGGUAGCUGGUCUGAGAGGAUGAUCAGCCACACUGGGACUGAGACACGGCCCAGACUCCUACGGGAGGCAGCAGUGGGGAAUAUUGGACAAUGGGCGAAAGCCUGAUCCAGCAAUGCCGCGUGGGUGAAGAAGGUCUUCGGA
rnacentral:rRNA from 1 species